GUGAAUCAUCGAAUUUUUGAACGCAAAUUGCACUCACUGGUAUUCCGGAGAGUAUGCCUGUUUGAGGGUCAGUUUAAAUAAAAAUCUGCUUGGUUGUUGCAUUUAGUGGUGACGCACCGGAUUUGGGUCGUAUUGCCUUCGGUUAAGUGUCCUAAAAUUUUGCAUGAUUAUUUUCGAACGUAUAUAAAUGAUAUUACGUACGUUUGCGAUAUCGAAUAUUAGGGGUGGUCAUCUACAUGA
rnacentral:misc_RNA from 1 species